GGGCACAUGACUCAAGUGGUAGAGCACUUGCCUGGCAAGUCUGAGGACUUGGGUUCAAAUCCCAAUAUUGCCA
rnacentral:tRNA from 1 species